UACAGAGGUCCCAAGCGUUGUUCGGAUUCACUGGGCGUAAAGGGUGCGCAAGUGGGUUUGCAAGUUUGAUGUGAAAGCCCCGGGCUUAACCCGGGAAUGGCAUUGAAUACUGCAGAUCUGGAGGAUUGGAGGGGGGACUGGAAUUCUUGGUGUAGCAGUGAAAUGCGUAGAUAUCAAGAGGAACACCAGUGGCGAAGGCGAGUCCCUGGACAAUACCUGACACUGAGGCACGAAAGCCAAGGGAGCAAACAGG
rnacentral:rRNA from 1 species